ACGGCUACCUUGUUACGACUUCACCCCAGUUACCGGACCUGCCUUCGGCAGCUCCCUCCAAAUGGUUGGGUCACUGACUUCGGGCAUUUCCGACUCCCAUGGUGUGACGGGCGGUGUGUACAAGACCCGGGAACGUAUUCACCGCGGCAUUCUGAUCCGCGAUUACUAGCGAUUCCGGCUUCGUGCAGCCGGGUUGCAGGCUGCAGUCCGAACUGGGACGCUGUUUCUGGGAUUUGCUCCCCCUCGCGGGCUCGCCUCCCUCUGUUUACGCCAUUGUAGCACGUGUGUAGCCCAGGCCAUAAGGGGCAUGAUGAUUUGACGUCAUCCCCGCCUUCCUCCGGGUUAUCCCCGGCAGUCUCCCCUGAGUGCCCGGCUUUCCCGCUGGCUACGGGGGAUAGGGGUUGCGCUCGUUGCGGGACUUAACCCAACAUCUCACGACACGAGCUGACGACAACCAUGCACCACCUGUCUCUUCCGCCCCGAAAGGAACACGGCAUUACCCGUGCGUCAGAAGGAUGUCAAGGCCUGGUAAG
rnacentral:rRNA from 1 species